CCUACGGGGGGCAGCAGUGGGGAAUAUUGGACAAUGGGGGCAACCCUGAUCCAGCCAUGCCGCGUGUGUGAAGAAGGCCCUCGGGUUGUAAAGCACUUUCAGUGAGGAAGAACGCCUGGUGGUUAAUACCCAUCAGGAAAGACAUCACUCACAGAAGAAGCACCGGCUAACUCCGUGCCAGCAGCCGCGGUAAUACGGAGGGUGCGAGCGUUAAUCGGAAUUACUGGGCGUAAAGCGCGCGUAGGUGGCUUGAUAAGCCGGAUGUGAAAGCCCCGGGCUCAACCUGGGAACGGCAUCCGGAACUGUCAAGCUAGAGUGCAGGAGAGGAAGGUAGAAUUCCCGGUGUAGCGGUGAAAUGCGUAGAGAUCGGGAGGAAUACCAGUGGCGAAGGCGGCCUUCUGGACUGACACUGACACUGAGGUGCGAAAGCGUGGGUAGCAAACAGGAUUAGAUACCCUUGUAGUC
rnacentral:rRNA from 1 species